rnacentral:rRNA from 1 species
UACGAAGGGGGGCUAGCGUUGUUCGGAAUCACUGGGCGUAAAGCGCACGUAGGCGGAUGUGCCAGUCAGGGGUGAAAUCCCGGAGCUCAACUUCGGAACUGCCUCUGAUACAGCACGUCUUGAGUCCGGAAGAGGUGGGUGGAAUUCCUAGUGUAGAGGUGAAAUUCGUAGAUAUUAGGAAGAACACCGGUGGCGAAGGCGGCCCACUGGUCCGGUACUGACGCUGAGGCGCGAAAGCUAGGGGAGCAAACAGG